rnacentral:piRNA from 1 species
UCAAGACUCAGCAGGAAGCUGGUGGCUUU